ACUCCUUCCCUGCCUUUCCUACCUAUCACUCUCGUGCUGAAAGUUGGAGCUCCUUACCCAAAGACUGGGCGGAAAGGGUGACCGCCCUGGACCCCUGCCCGACUUCCCGUUAGGCCAAGCCGCUGUCCUGAAAGGGGAUCGUGUCCAGGCCGGCUUCCUGGAGACACACCUGCGCCUGCACACACCCACCGCGGUCGCGUCACCAGUGCCGCGGCCACGUGGACGAAGACCAAAGUCUGGAGGGAAUUCCCUCAGCCACAAAGCGAUGGGAAAGCGGGACCCGGUGGAGACCAGAGUCUUGCUAUGCUUUCCAGGCUGGUUUUGAACUCCUAGCCUCAAGCGAUUUUCCUGCCUCAGCUUCCCAAAGUGCUGGGAUUACAGGCACAAGCCACUGCACCCGGCCCUGUUGUUGUUAAGAAAAUUACAAGUUAAAUCUUGUACCAGUGAACAAGAUUUAGCUUGUGAACCUUCUUCAGUGUAAUUUUUCUGGAACCACCAUGAUGAAGUAGAGUCAUUGUCUGGGGUAAAUACCUGAGGUUCCUUCUCUCAGCCAGGAAAUCGAGGACAUGGACACACGAGAAGUGGAUUUAAGAGCAGAAGUUUAAUAGGCGAAAGAAAGAGAAAAGAGAAUCUCUCUCCUGCAGAGAGAGCGGGGCGCCUGAGUGGGUCUUCCGGUCCCAUGGUGAAGUACACAGGUUUUAUAGACUGGCUUGAGGAGGUGGUGUCUGAUUUACAUAGGGCCCAAAGAUCGGUUGGACCAGGUGUGAUGUUUACAUAACAGGAGAAGAAGCUGACCACCCCACCCUAAUCUUUUAUUCUGCAAAUGGAUUUUCUACCUUGCCAGUGCCACGUUUUCUGUUCUUUACCAUUCACAAGGUUGACAAAAGGGAAGAUGGAACUGCCAUGCUGAACAUGCCUAGCCCCCAGAUUAGGGAUCGUGAUGUGGAGCUGCACUUCCUGGUUCCAAAUCCUGGCUCUUCCCCUCAUCCCUGGGUAAGUUGAGGGAUGAGAGCAAGAGAAGGUUGAUCCUGACUCAGAUCUCUGCAUGGGGCAUGUCACUGAUGACGGCGGCAUUCCCUGAGAGAGGGAACACUAAGUUUGAAGUUGGGCAUAGUGAGCACUAUUUUGGAUGAGUUAAGUUUAGAAGUGCCUGAAGACAUCCAAGUGGAAGAAGUGGCUGCAUGGACUGAAGAUACAGACUGGGAAACGUUAACACCAUCAAGGAACUGGAGUCCUGGGCACAGAAUAUGCUGCAAAGGGAGAAGAAGGAAGACGUGUGGUAUGGAAUCACCUAUGGAUAAGGUUGAGAACCAUGGGCUAGAUGCUAUGGAGACCAACGUAUCACUUACUAGGCUUUACUUUGUGCCAGGCACUGGAUUCGGCAUUACCCCAUUUAAGCCUCACUACCAUCCUUCAUGUUACUAUUCCACGUUGCCGCUCAGGAGAAACAAAAUUUUUUUAUUAAAUUCAAGUAACCUGAGGUCCCAUAUUUAGUAAGAGGCAGAGGAGUUAGAUGUGUCAAUAGCUAAAUUACAUGGCUGUGUCCUCUAGCUGGCCAGGGACUGACAACAUCAGUAUCACCUGGUGACUCUCCCAGGGGAGAUGUUUUUAAAAAUCUUUUCCAGUAAUUCUGUGCAACAUGGCAAUCUGAAACCAGUCUUUCAGACCUGGAAGUUCUUUAGAGACCACAGGACUCUCUUUGAUAUUUUUUCUUUUGAAUUUUUUUAAAAUACAGAAUCCUUUUUCAUGUUCUCUGUUUAUAAAACAACUGCAUGUCAAUUACAUUAUUUUUUAGAAGAUAGGUACAAGAGCCAGGCGUGGUGGCUCAUGGCUGUAAUCACAACACUUUGGGAGGUCGAGGCAGGUGGAUCAUUUGAGGCUGGAAGUUCGAGACCAGCCUGGCCAACAUGGCAAAACCUGUCUCUACUAAAAAUAUAAAAAAUUAGCCUGGAGUAGUGGUGCAUGUCCCAGCUACUCGGGAGGCUGAGGCAUGAAAAUCGCUUGAACCCGGGAGGUGCAGGUUGCAGUGAGCCAAGAUCGCACCACUGCACUCCAGCCUGGGCAACAGAGCAAGACUGUGUCUUGACAGCAACAAAAAAAGAAGAUAGGUAUAGGAAUUAAAAAGAAAGCAAAUAAUUACUGGUAGCCUGACCACUAAGAGAUAUAUACUGAUAUUUUUUUUGCGGGGGGUGCAUCUCCUUGCAGGCCUUUUUGUAUGUUUAUGUUCAAACACAUUUGUAACAACAAUGAAUAAAAAACGCAUAAUAUUCAAUGA
rnacentral:lncRNA from 1 species